rnacentral:misc_RNA from 1 species
UUAACGAUUUAUAUCUAAACUCAGACGACAUAAUUACAAUAGAAUUUGAGAAGGCUACUGGCGUGCACUGACCAGGGAUAUGAAAGUCCCCGGCGGCCCCUAAAGGCGGGCCCACCAAAGCAACAUGGUAUAGUUAACAAAGGGGUUGGAGGUCGGGCCUGAAGACCCUAACUCGGUAAUGAUCCUUCCGCAGGUUCACCUACGGAAA